ACGUAGGGGGCAAGCGUUAUCCGGAUUUACUGGGUGUAAAGGGAGCGUAGGCGGUCAGACAAGUCAGAAGUGAAAGCCCGGGGCUCAACUCCGGGACUGCUUUUGAAACUGCCUGACUAGAUUGCAGGAGAGGUAAGUGGAAUUCCUAGUGUAGCGGUGAAAUGCGUAGAUAUUAGGAGGAACACCAGUGGCGAAGGCGGCUUACUGGACUGUAAAUGACGCUGAGGCUCGAAAGCGUGGGGAGCAAACAG
rnacentral:rRNA from 1 species